GGUCAUGGAAGUGAGCAGUGUUAAGCCUCACGUUGAUGCACUAUACGUGUUAACGUGGGUUUUUGAGUAAUAAUAAAACCUUUGAAAUCAAACGAA